rnacentral:rRNA from 1 species
GAUGAACGCUGGCGGCGUGCCUAAUACAUGCAAGUCGAGCGAACAGAUAAGGAGCUUGCUCCUUUGACGUUAGCGGCGGACGGGUGAGUAACACGUGGGUAACCUACCUAUAAGACUGGAAUAACUCCGGGGAACCGGGGCUAAUGCAGGAUAACAUGUUGAACCGCAUGGUUCUACAGUGAAAGGCGGCUUUGCUGUCACUUAUAGAUGGACCCGCGCCGUAUUAGCUAGUUGGUGAGGUAACGGCUCACCAAGGCAACGAUACGUAGCCGACCUGAGAGGGUGAUCGGCCACACUGGAACUGAGACACGGUCCAGACUCCUACGGGAGGCAGCAGUAGGGAAUCUUCCGCAAUGGGCGAAAGCCUGACGGAGCAACGCCGCGUGAGUGAUGAAGGUCUUCGGAUCGUAAAACUCUGUUAUUAGGGAAGAACAAAUGCGUAAGUAACUGUGCGCGUCUUGACGGUACCUAAUCAGAAAGCCACGGCUAACUACGUG